rnacentral:rRNA from 1 species
UACGUAGGGUGCGAGCGUUAAUCGGAAUUACUGGGCGUAAAGUGUGCGCAGGCGGCCGAGCAAGUCGAGUGUGAAAGCCCCGAGCUUAACUUGGGAACUGCGCUCGAAACUACUUGGCUAGAGUGUGGCAGAGGGAGGUGGAAUUCCGCGUGUAGCAGUGAAAUGCGUAGAUAUGCGGAGGAACACCGAUGGCGAAGGCAAUCCCCUGGGCCUGCACUGACGCUCAUGCACGAAAGCGUGGGGAGCAAACAGG